rnacentral:lncRNA from 1 species
GAUAAUGUGAGAGAAGUUGGCUUCAUCCAUAUUUGUUACAAUCAAUCCAAAAGCCUUCUUUUCACGACGUUUGAACUCCUUCUUCUCCUUCAUAUCAGCAUCUUUGCUUGGAGCCUCUUCACUUUCAUCUACAAUAUCCCAAAGAUCCAAAGAUGCCAACAAAAGCUUCAUUUUGACCUUCCAAUGGUAGAAAUUUUUACCUCUAAACUUCUCAAUAACUUUCAAGCCUUCACCUUCACUUGAAGCCAUGUCUAAGGUAGAGUUAUAUCAACAAAGGUUGUAAGAAGAAGUCCUAAUGCUCUUAAAAUCAUCCAGAAGUUUUUGCUGCCUUAGAAUCACAGAAUCCUUCUUUGUGAACAAACUAGUAUUUUUAUUCUCAAAAAAUACUCUCAACUUCACUUCUAAGGCUUCUUACAAGUCUGGUGACCUUUCCAAAUCUAAAUUGUCACUCUAAUAUCUCUCU